GUCUUUCAUUCAGUUGUUUGAGAGGAGUUUCAAUCUGUGUAAAAAGGGUUCUCCAAAACGCGAUAGGCCUAGAGAUAAAACUGAGGAAGCUGAUAAGAAAUCAGGAGUGUCGCUGCUCGCUAACAGGAUAGUCUAGCUACGAAAGCAGAAUACGUUAAGAAGCGAGGGGUAUUGUUCGAGUGUGAAAGUUCGUGGCUGUCGCUGCUCGUUCCUGUUCCGUUCGCUGCUCGGAGAAGGUAUUUGUCUCAUUUCUUCUUCUAUUUCUGAAUGAUGUUCUUGGUAUAGCAAUCUGGUGUAUUUGUCUCGUUUCUUCUUCUAUUUCUGAAUGGUGUUCUUAGCAUAGCAAUCUGGUGUAUAUUGUUUCAUUUCUUCUUAUGUUUUUUAUAUAUGUUUCCUUUCGUAUUUG
rnacentral:misc_RNA from 1 species